GUCCAGAUCAGCUUCUUCCACAUGGGAGGGAAAAUGGCUGCUGACGGCUCCCAAGCCUCAAUCCCUUCACCCUUGCCACUGGCAAACUGCGGUUUAGGUUGCUGCCUUGGCAGUCCUGGCUGUCCUCACGGAAGAGCAUGUGAACCACGGACCUGGCUGUCUUUUUCAUUGGGUUGGCUCUGCGGUGCAGGCUGGCAGAUGAGCAUGUGAUGAGCCCGCCCUUGCUGGCCGUGCAAUUCGGCUCCUGUCAUGCUCUUGGCCAUUGAAUCGGCCUAAUGCAGCCCCUCAGCAGCCAGCCUGGUGUUCCCUGGGGCUGAGGAUCUAAUGUCAGCAGGGCAUGAUUCGAUUCACAUUAAAGAUGGAUAUUAAGUCUUUUUA
rnacentral:lncRNA from 1 species